CGGGGUGUGGCGCAGCCUGGUAGCGCACUUGCAUGGGGUGCAAGGGGUCGCGAGUUCGAAUCCCGCCGCCCCGACCA
rnacentral:tRNA from 1 species